AUCAUGCAAGUCGAGCGAAGAGAUGGGAGCUUGCUCCCUGAUCUUAGCGGCGGACGGGUGAGUAACACGUGGGCAACCUGCCCUGCAGACUGGGAUAACUCCGGGAAACCGGAGCUAAUACCGGGUAAUACAUCGCACCGCAUGGUGCAAUGUUGAAAGUUGGCUUUCUGAGCUAACACUGCAGGAUGGGCCCGCGGCGCAUUAGCUAGUUGGUAAGGUAAUGGCUUACCAAGGCGACGAUGCGUAGCCGACCUGAGAGGGUGAUCGGCCACACUGGGACUGAGACACGGCCCAGACUCCUACGGGAGGCAGCAGUAGGGAAUCUUCCGCAAUGGACGAAAGUCUGACGGAGCAACGCCGCGUGAGUGACGAAGGCCUUCGGGUCGUAAAGCUCUGUUGUUAGGGAAGAACAAGUACCGUUCGAAUAGGGCGGUACCUUGACGGUACCUAACCAGAAAGCCACGGCUAACUACGUGCCAGCAGCCGCGGUAAUACGUAGGUGGCAAGCGUUGUCCGGAAUUAUUGGGCGUAAAGCGCGCGCAGGCGGUCUUUUAAGUCUGAUGUGAAAGCCCACGGCUCAACCGUGGAGGGUCAUUGGAAACUGGAGGACUUGAGUGCAGAAGAGGAGAGUGGAAUUCCACGUGUAGCGGUGAAAUGCGUAGAUAUGUGGAGGAACACCAGUGGCGAAGGCGGCUCUCUGGUCUGUAACUGACGCUGAGGCGCGAAAGCGUGGGGAGCAAACAGGAUUAGAUACCCUGGUAGUCCACGCCGUAAACGAUGAGUGCUAGGUGUUGGGGGGGUUCCACCCUCAGUGCUGAAGUUAACACAUUAAGCACUCCGCCUGGGGAGUACGACCGCAAGGUUGAACUCAAGGAAUUUGACGGGGGCCCGCACAAGCAGUGGAGCAUGUGGUUUAAUUCGAAGCAACGCGAGACCUUACCAGUCUUGACAUCCUCUGACAUCUGGAGACAGGACGUCCCUUCGGGGACGGUGACAGUGUGCAUGGUGUCGUCAGCUCGUGUCUGAAUGUGGGCAGUCCGCACGAGCCAACCUUGAUCUAGUGCAGCAUGUAGCCUUAGUACUGCGGUACAACUCUAAGAGUA
rnacentral:rRNA from 1 species